rnacentral:rRNA from 1 species
AAUAUUGCGCAAUGGACGGAAGUCUGACGCAGCGACGCCGCGUGAGCGAUGAAGGCCUUCGGGUCGUAAAGCUCCGUCCUUGGGGAAGAAGGUCUUCGGCCUUGACGGUACCCAAGCAGAAAGCCCCGUCUAACUACGUGCCAGCAGCCGCGGUAAUACGUAGGGGGCGAGCGUUGUCCGGAAUUACUGGGCGUAAAGGGUGCGUAGGCGGCCCUUUAAGUCAGAUGUGAAAGCCCACGGCUUAACCGUGGGACUGCAUUUGAAACUGGAGGGCUUGAGUAUCGGAGAGGGUAGUGGAAUUCCCAGUGUAGCGGUGUAAUGCGUAGAUAUUGGGAGGAACACCAGUGGCGAAGGCGACUACCUGGACGAUUACUGACGCUGAUGCACGAAAGCUAGGGGAGCAAAC